rnacentral:rRNA from 1 species
CCUACGGGGCGCAGCAGUGGGGAAUAUUGGACAAUGGGCGAAAGCCUGAUCCAGCCAUGCCGCGUGUGUGAAGAAGGCCUUCGGGUUGUAAAGCACUUUCAGUGGGGAAGAAAGCCUUGGGGCUAAUACCCUCGGGGAAGGACAUCACCCACAGAAGAAGCACCGGCUAACUCCGUGCCAGCAGCCGCGGUAAUACGGAGGGUGCGAGCGUUAAUCGGAAUUACUGGGCGUAAAGCGCGCGUAGGCGGUCUGAUAAGCCGGUUGUGAAAGCCCCGGGCUCAACCUGGGAACGGCAUCCGGAACUGUCAGGCUAGAGUGCAGGAGAGGAAGGUAGAAUUCCCGGUGUAGCGGUGAAAUGCGUAGAGAUCGGGAGGAAUACCAGUGGCGAAGGCGGCCUUCUGGACUGACACUGACGCUGAGGUGCGAAAGCGUGGGUAGCAAACAGGAUUAGAUACCCGUGUAGUC